rnacentral:rRNA from 1 species
UACGGAGGGUGCAAGCGUUAUCCGGAUUUACUGGGUUUAAAGGGUGCGUAGGCGGGCCAUUAAGUCAGUGGUGAAAGCUCCGAGCUUAACUCGGAAACUGCCAUUGAUACUAGUGGUCUUGAAUUCGGUCGAGGUUGGCGGAAUGUGUCGUGUAGCGGUGAAAUGCUUAGAUAUGACACAGAACACCGAUUGCGAAGGCAGCUAGCUAGACCGACAUUGACGCUGAGGCACGAAAGCGUGGGGAUCAAACAGG